AGUGGAUGGGGAGCAACCUAGUUGUGCGUGUGUAAAGGUAGUGCCAAGAAAAGCGAUGAUCAUGUUGAAAAUCAAUUCCCGGUACCCGAAACCGACACAGGUGGGCAAGUAGAGAAUACUAAGGGGCGCGAGGUAACUCUCUCCAAGGAACUCGGCAAAAUGACCCCGUAACUUAGGGAGAAGGGGUGCCACCGAGAGGUGGUCGCAGUGAAGAGGCCCAGGCGACUGUUUAGCAAAAACAUAGGUCUCUGCAAACUCGAAAGAGGAGGUAUAGGGCUGACGCCUGCCCAGUGCCGGAAGGUUAAAGAAGUUGGUCAGUUUUAGGAUGAAGCUAGCGACUGAAGCCCCGGUGAACGGCGGCCGUAACUAUAACGGUCCUAAGGUAGCGAAAUUCCUUGUCGGGUAAGCUCCGACCCGCACGAAAGGCGUAACGAUCUGGGCGCUGUCUCGGAGAGAGGCUCGGCGAAAUAGGAUUGUCUGUGAAGAUACGGACUACCUGCAAUUGGACAGAAAGACCCUAUGAAGCUUUACUAUAGCUUGGAAUUGUGUUCGGGCUUCCUGUGCGCAGGAUAGGUGGGAGGCGUAGAAGGUAUUCUUGUGGGGAUACUGGAGCCAACGGUGAGAUACCACUCUCAGGAGGCUAGAAUUCUAACUUAAUUAAGGACAGUUUCAGGUGGGUAGUUUGACUGGGGCGGUCGCCUCCAAAAAGGUAACGGAGGCGUACAAAGGUUCCCUCAGACUGGUUGGAAAUAAGUCGAAGAGUGCAAAGGCAGAAGGGAUCUUGACUGCGAGAAGUACAGUUCGAGCAGGGUGGAAACACGGUCUUAGUGAUCCGACGGUGCUGUGUGGAAGGGCCGUCGUUCAACGGAUAAAAGUUACUCUAGGAUAACAGGCUGAUCUCCCCCAAGAGUUCACAUCGACGGGGAGGUUUGGCACCUCGAUGUCGGCUCAUCGCAACCUGGGGCGGAAGUACGUCCCAAGGGUUGGGCUGUUCGCCCAUUAAAGCGGUACGUGAGCUGGGUUCAGAACGUCGUGAGACAGUUCGGUCCAUAUCCGAUGCAGGCGUGAGAAUAUUGAGAGGAGCCUUCCUUAGUACGAGAGGACCGGGAAGGACGCACCGCUGGUGUACCUGUUAUGAUGCCAAUUGUAAACGCAGGGUAGCCAAGUGCGGAGAGGAUAACCGCUGAAAGCAUCUAAGUGGGAAGCCCACCUCAAGAUGAGUAUUCUGGUGUAAGGUCACGGGAAGACGACCCGUAAAUAGGCACGAGGUGGAAGUGCAGAGAUGUAUGAAGCCGAAGUGUACUAAUAGACCGUCGGCUUGAC
rnacentral:rRNA from 1 species